UACGAAGGGGGCUAGCGUUGCUCGGAAUUACUGGGCGUAAAGGGCUUGUAGGUGGCCAACUAAGUCAGACGUGAAAUCCCUCAGCUUAACUGGGGAACUGCUUCUGAUACUGGAUGGCUUGAGUUUGGGAGAGGGAUGCGGAAUUCCAGGUGUAGCGGUGAAAUGCGUAGAUAUCUGGAGGAACACCGGUGGCGAAGGCGGCAUCCUGGACCAACACUGACACUGAAAAGCGAAAGCCAGGGGAGCAAACGGG
rnacentral:rRNA from 1 species